rnacentral:rRNA from 1 species
GAAUUUAAGCAUAUUAUUAAGCGAAGGAAAAGAAAUUAACAAAGAUUGCCUUAGUAAGGGCGACUGAACCGGCAAUAGCUCGAAAUUGUAAUCGUUGAUUCAAAGAAUCUUCGAAUUGUAAUCAGGACCGCCAAAAUACGGAUAUGCGUUUAACGGUGUCGAAUCACCGGCCAGAGAGAGUGCAAGCCUCGUAUAGCGUGUGUCGAAACAGGGGGUUCACCAAAGAGUCAGGUUGCUUGGAACUGCAGCCUUAAGCGGGAGAUAUGAAUCUUCCAAAGCUAAAUAUAGAUGGGAGACCGAUAGCGAACAAGUACUGUGAAGGAAAGAUGAAAAGGACUUUGAAAAGAGAGUGAAAAGAUCUGAAAUGCUUGAGAAGGAUGCGGUAAAAGCUGAUGGAAGGCUUGAAGACUAUUAGGGUCAAAAACUCUAUAGUGUCUACCAAAUCUUCGGACAAAAUGAAGUUAAUUACAUCAAAAAAGGCUUAGCCGGUUAGGGUGUGAUUGGCUUGAGGGACUAUUGUGAUUUUGUCAAAAUGGCUUUUACUGU